UUCAUUCACCAAAACAACCACCGCCUGGUCUAUGGAGCCACUCUCCAUCAUCCGUGUGUAGACCAGGAUAUUUGCUGUCUGGUAGUCUAAAAAAACAUAACUUAUUCAUUAAUAUUAAGCAUUACAGUAUUUUCAAAUUAAUAAAUGCAAUGGAUUUACACAUGCUAAGAUUCUUAUCUUCCUUUUAUCUAAAUAAUGCAUUACUUCCUGUUGAAGAGGAGGGAUGAGAAAACAAAGCAAUAUUAUAACUUUACCUGUCCACAUAGUGAUCUGAGGAGAAAGCAGAAGUAUUAAUAUGAAUGCCUGUAUGACUUCCAUGUUUGCCACUCACGCAGUUUGGUUCAUAGAAAGUAACCAAAAGCCAAUGUGUUCCUGUUAAAACCGGUAUCAGUCACAUGUCUUGACCAGUUUUUCUUUCCAUACUUUCACUUUUGAUAUGCCAUGGUUUCCUUUUACAGGCUUGAAUUAUUUUUUCCCUAAGAAUUUUUGUCAGUUCAUUAAAGAUUAGACCCAUAUAGAGUGAUUUUAAAAGGCGCAAGGUAGGUGCAAAAUAACUUGAUUGCACCAUUACGGCACAGCAAUAUAAAAGACCUACUUCACUUUUGAAACAAAAUGCAAGUUUUUCUUUUCGUCGUGGCUUUCUUUACCGUCCUUGUCAGCAGAAGAACAUGCAUACCAGCAGUUCAUUGGAUGUGCAUUUAAUAAUGAAGGGCAAGUAAGCCGUUUCUGGCGCUAUGGGUAUGAUGGCAGAGACAUCAUGCAUGUGGAUUUGGCCAAGGAAGCUGUGGUUGCUACCAGUGAACCUGGUCAGCUUUUAGCAGAAGAGAGAAAGAGCAAAGAAUACAUUAAGAGAAAAGAGGCACGACUAGUAAAGGUGUGUUCUGCUGUGAAAACUGUCUUCCUAAAGUCCAACAACUCCCUCUCCAGGGCAGCAAAACCUGCAGUAUAUGUGUCUUCUGGAGGAGAAAAGGAUCAGGAAUAUAUUAAAUGUGCUGUGCGUGGCUUCUAUCCAAACAUCAUUAAAGUACGCUGGACCCAUAAAGCAAGGCCAAUCUAUUUUGGUGUAUCAACUACUGGAGUACUCCCUCACAAAGAUGGCACUUUCCAGAUGACCUCCUAUCUUAGUCUUAGUAACGUGAGCAGCAGCGAUGUUACCUGUGAGAUUGAACACUUAAGCAUUGAUGGGAAAAUGAGGAUAAACUAUGGGGAUAAAUCGUUGUUUCUGUCACAAAUCACAGAACAUGUACUUAAGGCAGUGGCUGCCUUUCUUCUUGGAUUUGUAUUACCAGUUUGCAUAACUGUACUAUUUAUAUGCAUAAGGCAAAAGACAUCAAAACCACCCGAAGAUGAGAUAAAAGACACAAGUGAUGAAUCAGAAGCAUCUUUAUCUUUGAAUUUAAUGAAUAUCUCUCAGGAAACAUAAAAUAUUUAAGGCGAGUGUGACCCGAAACCAUAUAUUAUUAUUAUUAUAUUUUGGCCACAGACAAAUACUUUAAUUUUCAUAUUUGUGUAGAAUUGAAUCUCAAGUAUACACAAUGUCUGUAUAUCUAUAGGUAGCCUAUUAAAAAUCUGUGCUAGAGAUUUUACAUACUAGUUUGUGAUGCUUAAGCUUGUUGAUCUCUGUUUAUAGAGUUUGUAAAUGUAGUGUAACUUGUGCAUGGUCUAACAUAGGCUACUUUACACUAUUGUCAUCUUCACUUGUAAUCAUUAAUUUAUACAAAAUAAACAGGCUAUUUAUGACAAAUGAUUUAUGUAGUACAUUGGUAUUACUUUGGGAAUGUGAGUUAUUCCGUUAAGCUUUUAAGCUUAUAGUCUUUUAAUGUAUGUAUUUAUUUGUUUCCUUGUUUAUGGAAAUUCCAACACACGUACAAGGGCUUAGUACAUCGCAUUGCUUCGGGAAAAAAAAAAAAUAUCGGUUAAAUAAAGGAAAAGCAAAACUGUAACUGCAAAACUAAAGUAAUAAACAGUGCGUCAUCCGAACAUGUACGGCGAGCUCAAAAUGAUGACAUCCUGAAUAGCCAAUAGAUUUACAGAAAAUUGUUCUCGCGCCUUAGGCGCCAGUGCUUCAACCAAUAGCAGAGCGAGACUUUGUGGCUUCGCCACGGCGGAAAACCCAGCAAUUGGCUGCGCUUACAAACUGGGCGGGACCACAGGCUUCUGCAAGAUCCUCGCAGCCAUUUUCACGAAAGUGUUGCGGGCGCCAUGUCUGUGGAAGAUCCAGAAAAAGCCUUCGAACAUAAACACAAUAUUCUGCGUCUGCAGUCUCGCACCAGGGCAUCUGUGAAACCGCCGGGGACAUAAACAAAGCUGGGGGUAUCAAAGCUGUGUUGAGACAGCGUUAAACAUGAGAGCGGAUAUAAUGUCUGUUAAGCGUCUCAUGUGUUGUUGAGACGCGUAAACCGUGAGUUUUUCUCCAGACUGUCAGUAACGUUAUAUCAAAACCUUCAGCCAACGAGGGACUGAUGCUCCUCACUCUGCUUGCGGAGAAGGG
rnacentral:lncRNA from 1 species